rnacentral:rRNA from 1 species
UACGAAGGGGGCUAGCGUUGCUCGGAAUCACUGGGCGUAAAGGGUGCGUAGGUGGUGAGGAAAGUCGGAUGUGAAAUCUCCGGGCUUAACCCGGAAAUGGCAUUGGAAACUACCUUGCUAGAGGUUUUGAGGGGGGACUGGAAUUCUCGGUGUAGCAGUGAAAUGCGUAGAUAUCGAGAGGAACACCAGUGGCGAAGGCGAGUCCCUGGAAAACACCUGACACUGAGGCACGAAAGCUAGGGGAGCGAACAGG